GCGGAAGUGGCGGAACUGGAAGACGCGCUGGACUCAGGAUCCAGUGGGCCUAAAAGCCCGUGCGGGUUCAAAUCCCGCCUUCCGCACCA
rnacentral:tRNA from 1 species